rnacentral:rRNA from 1 species
UGCGCAGGCGGUUGAUUAAGACAGGCGUGAAAUCCCCGGGCUUAAUCUGGGAACUGCGCUUGUGACUGGUCAGCUAGAGUACGGCAGAGGGGGGUGGGAAUUCCACGUGUAGCAGUGAAAUGCGUAGAGAUGUGGAGGAACACCGAUGGCGAAGGCAGCCCCCUCGGGCCGGAUACUGACGCUCAUGCAGAAAGCGUGGGUAGCAAACA